rnacentral:rRNA from 1 species
CAUUCCUGCACCCGUAAUGAACAGAACUGUAGUGACACGGAAGGUAAGACAGAGCCGGGAAUGAGAAAACCGGUGCAAGCACAAUAGAUGUGUGGGAGGAAAAUCCCCCGCAUAAGUCAAAGGUGUGAUGCGGACCGAAAAAGAGUAGGGAAGCUGUUAAGCAAGCCGUCAAGAAAAGCUGCUAUUGUUUCAUUAUGGCCCGUACCGUAAACCGACACAGGUGGAUGGGGAGAGAAUCCUAAGGCCGGCGGAAGAAGUAUUGUUAAGGAACACGGCAAAAUGACCCCGUAACUUCGGGAGAAGGGGUGCCUGCGAGAGCAGGCCGCAGAGAAGAGGCCCAAGCAACUGUUUAGCAAAAACACAGGUCUAUGCAAAACCGAAAGGUGAGGUAUAUGGGCUGACGCCUGCCCGGUGCUGGAAGGUUAAGGGGAGUGGUCAGGAAACGAAGCCACGAACUUAAGCCCCAGUAAACGGCGGCCGUAACAAUAACGGUCCUAAGGUAGCGAAAUUCCUUGUCGGGUAAGUUCCGACCCGCACGAAAGGCGUAAUGAUUUGGGCGCUGUCUCGACAAUACAUCCGGUGAAAUUGAAGUGCCAGUGAAGAUGCUGGCUACCUGCGCCAGGACGGAAAGACCCCAUGGAGCUUUACUCCAGCUUGAUACUGGGACCCGGUAUUGCAUGUACAGGAUAGGUGGGAGGCUAGGAAAUGUGGACGCCAGUCUGCAUGGAGCCGCUGUUGGGAUACCACCCUUGUGGUGCUGGGUUUCUAACCAGAGGCCGUGAACCGGUCUGGGGACAAUGUCAGGUGGGGAGUUUGACUGGGGCGGUCGCCUCCGAAAGGGUAUCGGAGGCGCCCAAAGGUUCCCUCAGAAUGGUUGGAAACCAUUCGAAGAGUGCAAAGGCAGAAGGGAGCUUGACUGCGACACCGACGGGUGGAGCAGGUACGAAAGUAGGGCUUAGUGAUCCGGUGGAAUUUAAGUGGGAAUGCCAUCGCUCAACGUAAAAGCUACCCUGGAUAACAGGCUGAUCACUCCCAAGAGUUCACAUCGACGGAGUGGUUUGGCACCUCGAUGUCGGCUCAUCGCAUCCUGGGGCUGAAGUCGGUCCCAAGGGUUGGGCUGUUCGCCCAUUAAAGCGGUACGCGAGCUGGGUUCAGAACGUCGUGAGACAGUUCGGUCCCUAUCCGGCGUGGGCGUAGGAUAUCUGAGAGGAGCUGUCCUUAGUACGAGAGGACCGGGAUGGACUGACCUCUGGUGUACCGGUUGGCGAUCAACGCCACGGCCGGGUAGCCAUGUCGGGACGGGAUAAACGCUGAAGGCAUCUAAGCGUGAAGCCCCCCUCAAGAUGAGAUAUCCCAUCGUAAGAGUAAGACCCCUUGAAGACGACGAGGUUGAUAGGGCAGGGGUGGAAGUGCUGUAAGGCAUGGAGCUGACUGCUACUAAUCGGUCGAGGGCUUGACC